rnacentral:rRNA from 1 species
UGGGGAAUCUUGGACAAUGGGGGCAACCCUGAUCCAGCCAUGCCGCGUGAGUGAUGAAGGCCUUAGGGUCGUAAAGCUCUUUCGCCUGUGAAGAUAAUGACGGUAGCAGGUAAAGAAACCCCGGCUAACUCCGUGCCAGCAGCCGCGGUAAUACGGAGGGGGUUAGCGUUGUUCGGAAUUACUGGGCGUAAAGCGCACGUAGGCGGACCCAGAAAGUUGGGGGUGAAAUCCCGGGGGCUCAACCCCGGAACUGCCUCCAAAACUAUUGGUCUAGAGUUCGAGAGAGGUGAGUGGAAUUCCAAGUGUAGAGGUGAAAUUCGUAGAUAUUUGGAGGAACACCAGUGGCGAAGGCGGCUCACUGGCUCGAUACUGACGCUGAGGUGCGAAAAGUGUGGGGAGCAAACAGGAUUAGAUACCCUGGUAGUCCACACCGUAAAACGAUGAAUGCCAGUCGUCGGGUAGCAUGCUAUUCGGUGACACACCUAACGGAUUAAGCAUUCCGCCUGGGGA